rnacentral:rRNA from 1 species
GAGUUUGAUCCUGGCUCAGAACGUACGCYGGCGGCACGCUAACACAUGCAAGUCGAACGCAGUAGCAAUACUGAGUGGCAAACGGGUGAGUAUAAUGUGGGAAUCUGCCUUUUGGUUUGGAAUAACACGGGGAAACUUGUGCUAAUACCGAAUAAGCCCUUACGGGGAAAGUUUUAACGCCGAAAGAUGAGCCCGCACUUGAUUAGCUAGUUGGUAAGGUAAAAGCUUACCAAGGCAACGAUCAAUAGCUGUUCUUAGAGGAAGACCAGCCACAUUGGGACUGAGACACGGCCCAGACUCCUACGGGAGGCAGCAGUGGGGAAUCUUGCACAAUGGGGGAAACCCUGAUGCAGCGAUGCCGCGUGAGUGAAGAAGGCCUUUGGGUUGUAAAACUCUUUCGUCGGGGAAGAAAAUGACUGUACCCGAAUAAGAAGGUCCGGCUAACUUCGUGCCAGCAGCCGCGGUAAUACGAAGGGACCUAGCGUAGUUCGGAAUUACUGGGCUUAAAGAGCUCGUAGGUGGUUAAAAAAGUUGAUGGUGAAAUCCCAAGGCUCAACCUUGGAACUGCCAUCAAAACUUUUUAGCUAGAGUGUGAUAGAGGUAAGUGGAAUUUCUAGUGUAGAGGUGAAAUUCGUAGAUAUUAGAAAGAACACCAAAUGCGAAGGCAACUUACUGGGUCACUACUGACACUGAGGAGCGAAACAUGGGGUAGCGAAGAGGAUUAGAUACCCUCGUAGUCCAUGCCGUAAACGAUGUGUGCUAGACGUUGGAAAUAUAUUUUUCAGUGUCGCAGCGAAAGCAUUAAAGCACACCGCCUGGGGGAGUACGACCGCAAGUUAAAAACUCAAAUGAAUUGACGGGGACCCGCACAAGCAGUGGAGCAUGUGGUUUAAUUCGAAGAUACGCGCAGAACCUUACCAACACUUGACAUGUUCGUCGCGAGAUAAAG